AAGAAGCCAGAAGGAAUUAUGGCCAGGACAGCUGACCUGAGCUGGCCAAAGGGAUAUUCCAUAUCACAGAGCAUUAUUGCCAGUACAUAAACUGAGAGGAGUUGACUAGAGGGAGACUGGCUGGGCAUCAUUCAAGUGGAUAGAGGACUGAGCAAGCCACUACAUGGUUCUUAGUUGCUGGCUGGGGUUAAACUACAAAGACUCAGAGGAAGAUAUUUUCAAAUGGCAACCUGACCUGAAGUGUAUAUGGAUGGCAAGAGGUGGAAACUGAUGCACAGGAAAUUCCACCUGAAUAUGAGGAAGAACUACUGUGCAGUGACCAUAUAAUGGAACGGAUUGCCCAGAGAGGGUUUGGAGUCUCCCUCACUGGAGAUACUCAAGAACUGUCUGGAUGUGACCUAGUGCCAUGUGCUUGAGAAUGACCCUGCUUGAGCAUGGAGUUUGGACCAGAUGGCCACAGUGGUCCCUCCCAACCUGACCCACUCUGUAAAAGGGGAUUUUAAAAUGAAUGGGCGUGAAUCCUCGUGUGGGCCUGCUUAGUAUGUUCAGGACUUUUUCCUAAAUUAUAAGAUCAGUCUACAGCAUGAAGAGGCCAAUCCUUGCCAGCAGAACCAAGUUUUGAAAAACACUGCUCCACCAUAUGUUCAGUCCUGACCAGCGUGAUAGUUCGGAAGCUGACAUCUGCAGAUGGGGAGUUCAUACCACCAUUCAGCACAAACAUGCUGCUACUGUACACUGAAGUCAAUACUAGCCAGACUUUGCUUAGGAGAAAUUUUCAACACUGAUCUACAGUUUCACCUUGCCAACUAAUUUUUGUUACACUGAUGUAAAUGAAAUAGAUAUAAAAAGAAUCUCAGAGAAAAAUGGUGGCGCUGAUUGGAAAAGGGAGUCCCUGCGAAUCCUUUUGGUAAUCUCCUUUAGAGGGAAAACUCUUCUGUAUCAGGUAUUACAUUGAAGCUGUUGGUGUAACAGAAAACACUUUUUAAUGUUACAUAUGACGGACCUUCAAGAAAGCCCACUAAACUCUAUUUGGCCUGUAGGGUCAUGCACUACAAGGAUACAAUGACCUCAAACAGUUCCCUGAACUGUUUUAAAGACCUAGUUAACUCAUUUUUUCUCUGAACAAGAUAUAUCAAACUUGCAAUAAGCACAGUAUGAACCAAAGUCUUUCUUCCCUUUUCUGGUGCCCUUCUUAAAGCAGCAAGAAUACUCUGCUUAAAUGUUUGUGGGAGUGACAUUGGUUCUUCUACAGAAGCACUAAGAUAAAAUGCAUUUUCCCUGCUACUUUUAAUUUUUCUCCCCCUUGCUCCUCUCUCAUUCCCUCUGCAGUUCCUCAUGCAGUCCAAACACUUUUUCCAGGGCUUAAACAGAUUUAUGGCUAGCAAUUUCCACAGGGAUUGUAUGCAUGUUCUCUCAGGCAUGCCCAGGCACCAACACUCAUCAGAGGGCUGGAAAUCAAAAUCUGUGUCAGUUGUGCCACCAGCAGUGAAAUUCCAUGAGUUCAUAUUUGUUGUGUCCCUCAUUCAUGCCUUUACUGUAUAGCAGUGCCCUUCUUCAAAAGGCUGUACCUAAAGCCUCUGUGUGAAUUUUCUUUAAAAUGUUCUGCAGUCUUAUCUCCUGUGCACAUCUACCAUCAAUUAUUAAAUGGGAGAGUAAAUGGAAUCAUUUUCCUUUAUUAUGUUGCUCUGAAACUGAAAUGGACAAUGUCCGGACUGCAAAUUCAUAGUAGAAAUAGGUUAGAUGUUCAGUUAUAUGAAUUUUACUCAGAACUUUUCCUGCAUCAAAUGUGGAGCAUGCCUGAGUAGCAAACAGUUCAAAACAAUGGUAACUACAACACUGACUUUGCAAAUUCUGUUAUACUCAGUAAAUUGAGCUUUCUAAUUUUUAUAGAUAUUAGCAACCUAAUUUCUUUUUAGUGUACAUAAGAGGUACAUCCCACUUCUGAUCACUAAUUAUGCUGCCCACUACCCCAAUUAUUUUUCUAACAGAAUUAAGGGAACAGCUAAAUAAUGAAGGGGAUCAUUAUUACUUCAACACUACUGCAAGAGGUGGUGUUUUGAAUAAGUGGGUAACCAGAUUUGCCCAACAUCUGAUGCAUGAUGAAAGACAAGGAAUCAGAGUAUUUGCAAGUUGAAGACUCCCUAUUAAUGAGAUGCUUGCAAGUCUCUGCCUUAAUCCAGGCAUGCCCAUGAAUUCACUACCAUACACUAAGCUAUGCAUGCAAAUAUAUAUAUUAUAUUAUAUGAUGAUAUGAGAUUAUUAUAUAUAAUAUUAGUAAACAUAUAGUACAGUUGAUGAAAGAAAAUAUGCAAAUGAAACAGUCUGCUGUGUCUAAUAAAAUUCAUGCUUAUUUUGUCAUACUUACAAUGGGUAAUAUGCAAACUAUACAAAGCUUUGUCAUUAAUAGUACAAUUCUGUGCUCAAAACAUGAACCAAACACUAUAUUAACAAUUCUCUGUGAGCAUGCAUCCUUACUUACACUUUCUCUUUUUAUAUAAAAAGAAGAAAGUUUAACUUCCUCAGUUGUUUAUAAGACAAGGAAGAAGAGUUGAAAUACAGGAUUAAAAUUCAAUUAUGUUUUAAACACAGUAUAAUGAUUACAUUAUUCAUGAAGUUCAGAAGAAUUUGGUGAUCUGUCUCCCAAUAUCUUAAACUACUGUGUUCAAACUGUAUCAAAAGUGUAGUUCACCAGUAUUAAGAGACCUGUGAAUUUUCUCACUCACCUGUAUAUAUUGGCUGUAUUAGCACUUGGAUGCCUUUGGUACUGACAAUAAAAUU